ACCAGACUCCUACGGGAGGCAGCAGUGGGGGAUAUUGCACAAUGGGGGAAACCCUGAUGCAGCGACGCCGCGUGGGUGAAGAAGUAUUUCGGUAUGUAAAGCCCUCUCAGCAGGGAAGAAAGAAGACGGUACCUGACUAAGAAGCCCCGGCUAACUACGUGCCAGCAGCCGCGGUAAUACGUAGGGGGCGAGCGUUAUCCGGAUUCACUGGGUGUAAAGGGAGCGUAGACGGCCGUGCAAGCCAGGAGUGAAAGCCCGGGGCCCAACCCCGGGACUGCUCUUGGAACUGUGCGGCUGGAGUGCGGGAGGGGCAGGCGGAAUUCCUGGUGUAGCGGUGAAAUGCGUAGAUAUCAGGAGGGACACCGGCGGCGAAGGCGGCCUGCUGGACCGCGACUGACGUUGAGGCUCGAAAGCGUGGGGAGCGAACAGGAUUAGAUACCCCAGUA
rnacentral:rRNA from 1 species